GGGCGGAUGGUUUAGUGGUAUAAUACUCCCUUAGCAUCUCAUCCAACGUGAAGAUCCCGCUUGGGAGUGGUCCGGGGUUCGAUUCCCCGUCUGUCCA
rfam:Cordyceps confragosa RCEF 1005 scaffold_1, whole genome shotgun sequence.